rnacentral:rRNA from 1 species
AGUGAACGCUGGCGGUAGGCCUAACACAUGCAAGUCGAACGGCAGCACAGUAAGAGCUUGCUCUUACGGGUGGCGAGUGGCGGACGGGUGAGGAAUACAUCGGAAUCUACUUUUUCGUGGGGGAUAACGUAGGGAAACUUACGCUAAUACCGCAUACGGCCUACGGGUGAAAGCAGGGGAUCUUCGGACCUUGCGCGAUUGAAUGAGCCGAUGUCGGAUUAGCUAGUUGGCGGGGUAAAGGCCCACCAAGGCGACGAUCCGUAGCUGGUCUGAGAGGAUGAUCAGCCACACUGGAACUGAGACACGGCCCAGACUCCUACGGGAGGCAGCAGUGGGGAAUAUUGGACAAAGGGCGCAAGCCUGAUCCAGCCAUACCGCGGGGGUGAAGAAGGCCUUCGGGUUGUAAAGCCCUUUUGUUGGGAAAGAAAAGCAGCAGGUUAAUACCCCGCUGUUCUGACGGUACCCAAAGAAUAAGCACCGGCUAACUUCGUG